rnacentral:rRNA from 1 species
UACGGAGGGAGCUAGCGUUGUUCGGAAUUACUGGGCGUAAAGCGCACGUAGGCGGCUUUGCAAGUUAGAGGUGAAAGCCCGGGGCUCAACUCCGGAAUUGCCUUUAAAACUGCAUCGCUAGGGUUGUGGAGAGGUAAGUGGAAUUCCGAGUGUAGAGGUGAAAUUCGUAGAUAUUCGGAAGAACACCAGUGGCGAAGGCGACUUACUGGACACAUACUGACGCUGAGGUGCGAAAGCGUGGGGAGCAAACAGG